AUUGAACGCUGGCGGCAUGCCUUACACAUGCAAGUCGAACGGCAGCACGGGUGCUUGCACCUGGUGGCGAGUGGCGAACGGGUGAGUAAUACAUCGGAACAUGUCCUGUAGCGGGGGAUAGCCCGGCGAAAGCCGGAUUAAUACCGCAUACGAUCUACGGAUGAAAGCGGGGGACCUUCGGGCCUCGCGCUAUAGGGUUGGCCGAUGGCUGAGUAGCUAGUUGGUGGGGUAAAGGCCUACCAAGGCGACGAUCAGUAGCUGGUCUGAGAGGACGACCAGCCACACUGGGACUGAGACACGGCCCAGACUCCUACGGGAGGCAGCAGUGGGGAAUUUUGGACAAUGGGCGAAAGCCUGAUCCAGCAAUGCCGCGUGUGUGAAGAAGGCCUUCGGGUUGUAAAGCACUUUUGUCCGGAAAGAAAUCCUUGGCCCUAAUACGGUCGGGGGAUGACGGUACCGGAAGAAUAAGCACCGGCUAACUACGUG
rnacentral:rRNA from 1 species